GAUGAACGCUGGCGGCGUGCCUAAUACAUGCAAGUCGAGCGAACAGACGAGGAGCUUGCUCCUCUGACGUUAGCGGCGGACGGGUGAGUAACACGUGGAUAACCUACCUAUAAGACUGGGAUAACUUCGGGAAACCGGAGCUAAUACCGGAUAAUAUAUUGAACCGCAUGGUUCAAUAGUGAAAGACGGUUUUGCUGUCACUUAUAGAUGGAUCCGCGCCGCAUUAGCUAGUUGGUAAGGUAACGGCUUACCAAGGCAACGAUGCGUAGGCGACCUGAGAGGGUGAUCGGCCACACUGGAGCUGAGACACGGUCCAGACUCCUACGGGAGGCAGCAGUAGGGAAUGUUCCGCAAUGGGCGAAAGCCUGACGGAGCAACGCCACGUGAGUGAUGAAGGUCUUCGGAUCGUAAAACUCUGUUAUUAGGGAAGAACAAAUGUGUAAGUAACUAUGCACGUCUUGACGGUACCUAAUCAGAAAGCCACGGCUAACUACGUG
rnacentral:rRNA from 1 species